UUCAGAAUGAAGAAACGUCAUUGAGUGCAGCGUUGAUGAAGUCCUUAGUUUCGUUUCCGAGUUCCGAUGAUCUUCAUGGAGGCGAGCUGGAGGCAAUUUCAUCAACGCUGCACCCAAUUAUGUUUCUAUUCCUUCUGGA
rnacentral:pre_miRNA from 1 species